UCAGGAUUGGGAAGAGUUUGACUCGGAGUCUAACAGUGAGCGUUCGGAGUCUGACAGUGAACGGUCGGAGUCUAACAGUGAGCGUUCGGAGUCUCACAGUGAGCGUGUAUCACCGCAGCCAGGUCAAUUUACACAGGACCGGGCUGCAAAAGCUGAAAAGUUGAAGCUUCCGCAUCAGAGUACCGCAAGAAGCUGCCGUUUGUGAAUGCGCCCCGAUAGAGGAGAUUGAGGCAAAGAAGCUGAAGGCAGCGGGGGGAAAAGAGAAGAAAUCAGGAAGAAAUCGCCAUAGGCGAUAACUGAAUAUAAGAUUUUUUAAACCAUUGGAUAGGUUUGUUAGUCACCUAUCUUAGGAAAAAUACUUACAGAUACAUUGAAGUUCAAAUAACUAGUGUUAGGUCUUAUUUAAAUAAGAAGAAUUUUGGUUUUUGAACCUAUUUAAUGAAGCAAAUGAUUUUACUUUUGUUAAACAUGUGUGGCAGUGAACAAUUGGCUGCAUGUUAACCUUAUUUAAGUAUUGGCUGUUGUUCUUGGGGUGUAUUUAUAAUUUGAGGACUUAUUUUACCUAAUGGACAAUUUAUUUUAAUUGAGUGAACAACAUAUAAAACUUGUCAAAACUAUUGAAAGCCCCCAUAAGAAUUUCAUUGUUUUGUAGUGACCACUAUGUCUGCUCGUGACACUGUCGGUCUGACAUGUGAGAGUGCAGUUGAAGUAAAAUGAUUCAUCAAUCAUCACUUAUGAAAAAUUUCAAUCUUUGGGAUUAGUUUUUGCCUAUAUGCUACCUUUGACUGACAAAAAAACCAACAUCAACAAUGUUUUUUUUUUUUUAAUUUGAACAACUCGUCAUCGUGAUUGGGAGGCAUGUGUCAUUUUAAUUCAUCAUUAUGUAAUGUCGGGUAAUUGGACAUUUCACAAGUAUUUGUAUAUUGUGUAUGCACAACAAAUAUAAAUUGUGUCAACAAAUUAUGUGUUAGUUCACCAUUAGUUAUCAUUGAAAAUAAAACCUUAAAAAAGCU